UUUUUUUUUUUUUUUUACCGAAGAAGUAACUUUUCAAAAAAUGACUAUUCAAGAGCCCAUUGAAUGAAACAAUAGACAUUAAGAUAAAAUCACAAAAAAGUCUUUCAAGUGUAUAUUCUCUGCCAAAGAUUUUCAAAGAAAUCCAAAACAAAAGCCAAAAUCACAGGAUUAAUUAAAGAUAAAAACCAAAACUGGAGUUUCUUGACUAAGAACUAAGGAAACAGGCUACUUUAGUCCUCUUCGUCGAUGACCUUGGUGCCCAGACCCUUGAAUCCCUCUGGAGGAAUCUCAGUAACAGUGACAAGUGAGUAAAACUCCUCCUUUGCGUCCUCUUCAUCGUUUCUCUUCCUUGCAAUUCUAACACGAACUCUCCUUGGCACGCUCCUGA
rnacentral:misc_RNA from 1 species